rnacentral:tRNA from 1 species
UGGGUUAUAGCUCAGUGGUAGAGUGUAUGCAUAGCGUGUGUGAGGUCCUGGGUUCAGUUCCCAGUACCUCCA